GGUCAUUUGGUGAAUCCAACUAUCACAAUGAAAUUUCAAUUCAUAGGAGUAAUGACUA
rnacentral:tRNA from 1 species